NAAGAACGCAGCGAAUCGCGAUAAGUAAUGUGAAUUGCAGAUUUUCCGUGAAUCAUCGAAUCUUUGAACGCACCUUGCGCUCCUUGGUAUUCCGAGGAGCAUGCCUGUUUGAGUGUCAU
rnacentral:rRNA from 1 species